ensembl:snRNA U2 U2 spliceosomal RNA
AUCGCUUCUGAUCCUUUUGGCUAAGAUCAAGUGUAAUAUCUGUUCUUAUCAGUAAUUACUUAUAAUUACUUAUAAGGAACUGGAGUAGCUCUAACAAUUUUGGAAAGGAAUAAUA